UUAAUUAAUACUACCUAUUCAUAAAACAGAGAUCAUAAAUUUCAAGCCCAAUUGCGAGUACACAAUUAUAGAUCAACUUUAAGAUUAUUAACCUAAACUAUUUAUUGGCUGGUCUCACCAAGUCACACAGAGUAGCAUACUCACUGGACAAAUAAUAAAAUGGAAGUCAAAUACUUGAAGCCCAAGUGCCAGCACAGGCUUAUAA
rnacentral:lncRNA from 1 species